rfam:Nitrospirae bacterium GWA2_42_11 gwa2_scaffold_21613, whole genome shotgun sequence.
GGGGAGGUACCCAAGUGGCCAAAGGGAACAGACUGUAAAUCUGUCGCUGUAUAGCUUCGGAGGUUCGAACCCUCCCCUCCCCA